UAAGGGAACUCACAGUGCCGCACUGGGCCUUCUCCCUCACCGCCAACCGGAGCAGAAUGCACCGCAGGAAAGCGGGAGGCAGAGUUGAGCUUCACCAGGAAAACCAAACCUCAAGGGAGACAGUGAACCCCAGCUGUGCCCCCUUUUUGGGGCACAUGUACAUCUGGGCCCUCUGGGCACGGCUCCAGCCAAUCAGCCAGGCUGAUCCUCCCACAGCUUUUCACAAAAGGCUGCUCCCUCAGAGCAGAUGGCGGCGCCUAAACCAAGAUGGAGGCCGCCCGGGGGAGGGGGCUGGCGCUGAGAGCACAUCCGUUCCUCUAUGCAAACGCCCCCUUCUCACCACCCGCUGUGGGUAGAUGCCCCUUGUUUCCCUCAGCUUCUAAAGCCAAGACUCCAGAAUGUGGCCCCUCCACCACUAGAUGAUCCAAGUUUCUGGUAAUUGACAAAAGAAGAAGGAACAAGAGUAUUUCUACCAUCAAUGAGUUCAUAGAGGUGCAAAAAACUACAGAAAACUGCCCCACAAGUCCUUACUGCAACCGCACUGUCCUCCUACUGCUGGAACAUCUCUGCCCUGUGCAUCCUGAGUCAGGUUCUGAACUUCUCAAGGAGACAACUAAGAUCCAGCUAAUCUGACUGGUGACUACAGGCCGAACAGCUCUCUUUUCCUGAUAACACAUGUAGAAUUAAUUAUGUAAGCAAAAAGCAGACAAUAAAAUGCACCCACUACCCAAGUACA